CUCCCAAAAAAAAAAAAAAUCAUCCAUUAGUUUAAACCAAAAUGUCUAUAAGUAUCAAAUUUCCCACUUCAUCAAACUUCAACUUGAAAUAAAGGAACAGAACGCUACAAGGAGGCGGUAAAAUAUCUAUAUAUCACAUACAAACAAGCAGAGAAGCUUAAAACAUCCAUUGGCAUUAGUUUAAACCAAAGUGUCUAUAAGCAUCAAAUUUUCCAACGUCAUCAAACUUAAGCUUGAACUAAAGGAACAAACCACUACAAAGAGGAGGCAAAAUAUCUAUAUAUCACAUACAAACAAGCAGAGAAGCUUAAAACAUCCAUUGGCAUUAGUUUAAACCAAAGUGUCUAUAAGCAUCAAAUUUUCCAACGUCAUCAAACUUAAGCUUGAACUAAAGGAACAAACCACUACAAAGAGGAGGC
rnacentral:misc_RNA from 1 species